rnacentral:lncRNA from 1 species
GCCAAACAGAGGGAAGACACAGCAAUAAACAAAAUGCCCAGCAACUCUGAAUUGGUCCUUCAGUGCCUCCGUUUGCUUUGUCAUCUUCACAGAAGUCCCUGUGGUUGGGCUGUUCCAUUAGGUGUCAUUUUAUCGUGUGAAGGAACGUACAUGACGACCUCUUCCACUGCCUCCACUAACAAACUUCCCUCUUGAGCCACCACUGCUACUACUAUUAGCACUUGUCCAAGAUGGUCCAAUUCCUCCGCGGCCUCUGGAAGCACGAUCGCGAGGACUCGG